CUUUAAAGGGCUGCGCAGGCGCACUAACUUGGCCGCGAGGACUCCCCUCUUCUUGUUAUUGUUGUUUGGGCGCCCUCUACAAACGAAGCGCGGCGUCCAUCCGCAGUACAAGGUUAUGAUUAAAGAUGGACCCCAGCUUCCUCGCAGGGAGGGUUCUGGCUUCACAUGCUUGGCUUAGAAACUGAUACCAAAACACUGGUGGGAUGGACUGAUGGCACCUGAGAGAUGGCACAUGUUCAAAGGGAUGCUAAGGAACGUUUUUGCUAGCAGGUCUUCAAUCAACUGUAAGAGAAGAUGACCAACAGCCGAAGCAGAAACCAUUGGAAUCAAACUUCUAGCAGCCAUCACUCGCACAGCAUAGAGUGGACUUCCUGCUAAUGUGAGCAAUGGGUGGAUGAAACCAGAGACUGCACUGAAGGAGAUAAAAAUUCAGAAGGCCCUUCCCGGGAGAUUCCACCUGGCUCUCUUGCCGUC